GCUUAGGCAAGAGAAAGUCAUGGAAGACAUCCUGAGUCGAGAGUUGUGGGAUACGGACUUUUCCUUUCUCUGCUGUUCAUUCUCCUGUGACCUUGAGGAAAUCACUUCAUUCUGGUCCUCUGCCUGCUCACUUAGGUGGUCGGUUAUGUGAGUAGAUGGAGAAGAGAAAAUGACAAAACAAAGGAAGAAAAAGAAAGUUGUAUCUCUGUGCUUACCGAGUCCUUAUAGUAGAGGACAGCUUGGCUUAUACCAAGUUUCACUGACACAGUAAAGCAGGCAAAAGGAGCCAGCCUGGCACCAAACCAACCAUUCCCUCAGCUUCUCGCUUAUUCAAGAUGCUGCUCCUCAGGGUACCGGGACAGAGGGAAUGAUGUACGGUGGCAGCUCAUGGCCCUUGUCCUGAUGCUGCCAGGCUCCUCCCCAUGUGACACCCUUGUGACCAGAGUCAGCAUGCUCAUGGCAUUCCCUUGGACUCAGCCUAUUUUUCCCACCUCUGGGAUUGCAGCAUAAAUAUUUGGCAUUGGAAAGACUGGCAGCUUCAAGACAGAUCGGGAGGAUGUCCCAGAUGAGCACUGAACCAACAGUGCCAACAUGAGAGGAAAAAACCAUGCGAGCCCAGGGAGAUUUCUUCACUAUUUACCGAAUAGGGGGAAUUGUUUAUUUUCUACAUAUCUCCCAAAGAGUCC
rnacentral:lncRNA from 1 species